GCUUAUUCUCAGGGCGGGGUGAAAGUCCCCACCGGCGGUAAAUCACCUUCUACGGUGAAAGCCCGCGAGCGCUCAACUUCUCUCUUGAGGGAGGUUAGAGGUCAGCAGAUCCGGUGUAAUUCCGGGGCCGACGGUUAUAGUCCGGAUGGGAGAGAGUAACG
rnacentral:ncRNA from 1 species